GAUGAACGCUGGCGGCGUGCCUAAUACAUGCAAGUCGAGCGAACAGACGCCGAGCUUGCUGCUCUGACGGUAGGGGCGGCCGAGUGGGUAGCAAGAGGAUAAUCACCCUAUCCGACUGGCAUGACUUCGGGAAGCAGGAGCUGCUACCACAGAAUAUAUUGAACCGGAUGGUUGAAUGGUGAGGGACGGUUUUGCUGUCAGUUAUAGAUGGAUCCGCGCCGCAUUAGCUAGUUGGUGGGGUAACGGCUUACCAAGGCGGCGAUGCGUAGCCGACCUGAGAGGGGGAUCGGCCACCCUGGAGCGGAGACGCGGCCCAGACGCCUACUGGAGGCAGCAGUAGGGAAGCUUCCGCAAUGGUCGAAAGCCUGACGGUGCAACGCCGCGGGAGUGAGGAAGGUCUUCGGAUCGUAAAACUCUGUUAUUAGGGAAGAACAAAUGUGUAAGUAACUAUGCACGUCUUGACGGUACCUAAUCAGAAAGCCCCGGCUAACUACGUG
rnacentral:rRNA from 1 species